ensembl:lncRNA
UUGCGCUCCCAGUUUAGGUCACUCUUCUUUGAGUUUUUGUUUUGUUCCUAGCGCUUCUUAGUUUGUUUUGCCAGCGAAUAAAAGCUGCUGCCUGUUAGUUAAAUACUCCGUCUCAGAGUCCUGCAUUUGGGUCCAACCACUGCCUACCACACAGCUCACCGUGACAGAAAGCUUUAAACGUUGGUCUGAUACAUAACUUGCCAACUCAAGGCUUUCUGACUAAAGGCAAAAAGCGACGUUGUCACCAGGAAAGAAACAUCAUUGUCUGAUGAGAGGACUUAUUAAUUUGACCUUAUUGUGUAUUAUUUUGUGGUGUUUGGGGCAGUUUUCCUGUUUUGUGGGGUUGUUUGGGAGAUGAAUAUGUCUGACAAGGAUUUGUUCACAUUUGCACAUCUUAAUUUUUCAGUGAAAUGUGUGUUUUGAGUUUAUACACUAUAUGAGUAUAAGGCAACCUUUUCCUUUUGCAAUAUUUCGUGUGGUGAGGUUUUCUGUGUUUUAACAAAAGGGGAACAAAGUGUCAGCCUAAGAUGAUUUGCUUUAAUUUUCACAUGGUCUUACUGAGGUGAUGCAAAGUGAAACAUGCAUUGUUUCUUUUUCUUUUUUUGUAUUGUGCUGGAAAAGCUUGAAAAUGGACCUUGAAAGUGCUCAAAAAGUGCUUGAAUUUGACCCUAAAAAAGUUGUAUGAACCCUGUGUUUGUGAAAAGUUGUCUGUAAGUUAAGGGUUCAUUCACAUCAAACUCAGGCUUUCUCUCACUUUGAGUAUAUACCACCAGGUCGCACAUUACUCAGACUUCAAAGUGUGACAUUAGUCAGCUGGUAGUGGUGGCAGCCUGGAUGGAUAGACCACAAUGCAUUUAUCAUAUGCAUGCCAUAAGUACAUUUUUAUCUAUUCAGUAUUUGUCGUGAGUAGUGAGUAUUAGAGCUUUGUAAAAAAUUAAUUAAUUAACAUUUCAUUUUUAUUUAUUUUUUUUAAAUUUAUCUUUAACUGGGACCAGUUGUGUUUGUUCAGCUAAUGCUUCACUAGCAAUCUCUUACAGUAGCUGGAAGAAAUAAGCCUGAAACCCACAGUAAAAUCUUAACACAGGAUACUGAAGAUCUUUUGAAUUAGCUUUGAGCCUGUAUACCUUUAGCUUAAUAUGUACCUGAAAUGAGGCAGCAACAGCAGGUAAGAAUAUCAAUAAUUAAAAUAUGUGCAGCCUACUUGGAGCAAGAAAUUCAUUUUAUGAAGUUACCAGACUUUGAUAAAUAUUCAGAGAGAGACAGGCGGAAAAAUGUUGAAAUAUGGUUGAUGUUGAAUGUUCAAAGAACUUGCUUUCUCAAUAAAGGAUUAAUUAAAUGUCAAUAUGCAGAGUAACGGUGUAUAAAUGCUUCUUUGUUCCAGAAAUGCAUCUGUCUUUAUUCACUGUUUGGGCAGUCAAUCUCUUACUUCUCUCAGUACUGAAAGAAGACUUUAAUUGCUUAAGUAUAAUUGGUAAUGUACAAGGAUAAUUGCUCCUUACAAUUAGUAUUUUAGUAGUUAUUACUUAGGUGUAACUAUGCAUGUAUUUGUUAAGUUACAACAGUAAGUAAAGCUGAAGAUGAAAUAAAAU